GAGUUUGAUCCUGGCUCAGAACGAACGCUGGCGGCAGGCUUAACACAUGCAAGUCGAGCGCCCCGCAAGGGGAGCGGCAGACGGGUGAGUAACGCGUGGGAAUCUACCCUUGACUACGGAAUAACGCAGGGAAACUUGUGCUAAUACCGUAUGUGUCCUUCGGGAGAAAGAUUUAUCGGUCAAGGAUGAGCCCGCGUUGGAUUAGCUAGUUGGUGGGGUAAAGGCCUACCAAGGCGACGAUCCAUAGCUGGUCUGAGAGGAUGAUCAGCCACAUUGGGACUGAGACACGGCCCAAACUCCUACGGGAGGCAGCAGUGGGGAAUAUUGGACAAUGGGCGCAAGCCUGAUCCAGCCAUGCCGCGUGAGUGAUGAAGGCCCUAGGGUUGUAAAGCUCUUUCACCGGAGAAGAUAA
rnacentral:rRNA from 1 species